CAUGAUGCUCCUUAUCAUGGUUAUCGUUUCCUCCUGCCAGGUGGAGCGACCACCAGAGCCUUCUCGCCACCCGCCCCUUCCCCAGCGAAGGAAGCAAUUGGGGCCGGGCCGGGGCGGCCGCUCCCUAGAUGUGGGCUUCUUUUGCCUGUCCGCAUCCCUCCCUCAUUCAUCAGCAUGUAUAUAUCUUGAUCCCUUUAUUCCAGUAGAUCUACUGCCUUUCGAUGGGUUGGCUGAAACACUUCGGACUGCGACCAGUCUCUUAAAAAGAACAAAAAGAGGAAGACCUUGAGUGGACCCCAGGACAAAGCACUUUGGGCUCGGCAAGAAGGGACGCGGGAGCGCUGCCUGGGAACUGGAGUGAUCUCCAGUGCCAAAGAGCGCCCAUGAAGUGUGCGGACCUCUGAGGGUAUUCGGAUUGAAUUGUAUUUAUCCGUUGGGCAUGCUUGAACGAUGACAUUAUUGAAGAGGGGGAUCCUGCUGCAUUAGACACGAGUGACCUUUUAAAGCUACGCCCACCCUUUACCUGCAAGAGGACUGCAGCAGGCGAGUUUCGGAAGGCUGACUCCCCAGAUCCCGGCCCGGAGCGCGGCAGUUCGCCCUGCGGCACACCCGGCCGGGCUGCGCCCGCACUCAGCCAGCGAGGAAAAAGCCUGGAUCCGAAAGGAUGGGGGAGAACAAAGAGCCUUUGGAAGACAUCGCUGUUAUCUCAUUGUCUGUGUGAUUGGGGGAGCUGCGGAGAAAGGCCUCUCUCUCCGUGUUCACAGCGGACCUUGAUUUAAAUGUCCAUACAAUUAAGGCACGCGGUGAAUGCCAAGAAUGGGGCUGGCUGAGCACCGUCGGUCUGCGAGGGCCCGCCGGGAAGGAGCCACAGAGCGGAGGCGCCCUCCGCCCAGCUCAGCGCCGAGGCUUGGGGCGGGGGGGUCUCGGGCUCCCGCUGGCUGGGCAAACCCCGAAUCGGAGCCCUUGGGGUGGGGAGGUGUGCAGCUUGUGACAGACAGGGGCUUAGAGAAGCAGACAGACUCAGGGAGAGAAGCUGAUUCUGUAACAGAAACAGAUCUGUGCAAGCACAGAUGCGAUGGGGGCGGAAGCGGGGGGGGGGUGCGCCUGUGAGCGCAUUACGGAGUGCUUCUGCGUGCAUAUUUUUUGCUGGGCUCGGGGUGCAUUAUAUGUGGGUCGACACCUUCCGUGGCUGUGUUUUUGUUCUGGGCUUAGCUUUUGGUUUGCCCCUUAAAAAAUAAUCUGGCAUCCAGAAGACUGGCAGUCUGUGCCAGGGCUUGGACCACAGAUAUACUGUGUUCUCCUUGAGGUUGGGGGGUGAGUUGGAAGGGAGGAGGGAGGUGUUUGUCAUUCUUUGCUGUAGGGCUGUGGGCACCUGACAAGCUUAAGGAAGUCAUUGGAAUAUAGAAGGAAGAAGGAACAAACUCCUGGAGGGUUCAUAAGCUCUAUCAGGUCUGAAAGCAUGGCCAGGGCUCUUAGGAGCAUCUCACUUCCUCCUUGCGGCUGUAAUUGUAGUUCCCGGCAGAGAUCCAGGAGAUGCAGAGGAAGGGAGCGGCGCAGUAACCUACAUGUACCAAAGGGGGGAGGGGAUGAAUUCCUUCCUAAAUCUGAACUGAAGGAAAAAGAGAAUGUGCACAAGUGUUGAUUCUGAGGAAAGCCUGUUUUGAAAGGGGCUGUCAGGGAAUGGAAAGGGCUAACCUUCCCUCAUUCUUUAGAACCUGCUUCCCAAAUCAGGCCUUCUUCCCCAGCACUGGAUGCAGAGCAGCAGCUGAUCCUAGAGAGCCCCCCUUGCUGCAGUGGAUAGUGGCAAGAGCUAAACUCAUAGAUUUCCAGGUGGAGAAAAUUGGGGAAGGCAGGUCCCUGCAGAGAAAGGAGGGCGAGUGCUGGAUCUUCCUACCAGGAAGCCGGUUGCCUCCCUUUCCCCACUCCUGGCAGAGGCCUGUCUUUGCAAGGCCAAGCCCACAAGGAAUGCUUAGGAUUUUAGUCUUGAUUCUUGACGUGUUAAUCAAAGCCUAAAGGAGUUUCAGGUGAAACUUACUGAGGCAUUCUUUCCUCUGCAAAGCCUCAGUCUAGCACACUAAGCAAAUUAGCAUUCAAGGAUACCCUGGAUCCCCACCCACAUUUCCUCCCAAAAAUUUAUUAAGUACCUACUAUGUGCCAAUCACUGUGUAAUUAUUAGAUCUUAGGUUCUUCUUUGCCUUCCUAAAGGAGUAUCUGCAGCUAGGUCAGGUUAAGCGCCCUGUACCUCAUCUAGAUACUCCCAGAACCCUCUUUGCAGAAAUGUGCCACAACCUGCUUACCCCUGCAGAGAGAGGGCUGCAGUUUUCAUCACGCAAACUUCAGGCAUGGUGCUUUUCUUCAAGUCCCAAAAGGCAAAUUUGGCUAAAGGACAGGAGAGAGAGUAGUUUCUCUGGCCCCUGAACCUUAGCCAGGGUUGUCCUGAGAGGUACAGGCAACCACUGCCUUCCUCCAAACAGUGCCUCCUUGGAGUGUAAAUCCCCUUGCCUCUCUCCUCCCUUCUCCCUAAUAAGGCUGUUCUUGUGGUUUUGGGGGGCACAGUUUAAGCCUCCAAUGACCAACCUUUGCCCUAUGGACGCCCACAAUAGUGAGAUUCAUCUCUGAUUGCUUCCCCAUUACUCCAUCAGACGGGGCUGUACCCUUCACUGAUAUGCCUGCGCGUCAGCACAAUCUCCAGAUGCCUCCCCCAAGUAAUGGCCCUUUUAGGUGGAAACCUAACACGCUUCUCCCUGAGAGCUUCAACCACAGGCACCACGGACAAGGCCUGCCGGCUUCCCACUGCUGAUAAACUAUGGAAGGGAGGGGCAUAUUUUUUAUUACUUAUGUAAACUCUUAUUCCAGAAAGCUUUAAUGGGUGUGGGAGUGUUCUAGGUUUGCAGGGUCUGUGUGCAUGGCUGUGGGGUUUUCCUGUGUUCACCAGGUCUCAUUAUGAAAUGUAUUUUUAUGUGGGGCUUUAAUGGCUGCAAAUGGCAGAGAUGAAUGCACCACUCUGCCCCUGGUGUAAUUUCAAGGCCUCUUUUGUGUUCACCAAAUAGAGGUAUCUGAGUGAAGGUCAGUCCUAGCUUCUUCCCUUCUGCUAUAUUCUGGGCCUAUUUAUGCCUCGUGAUAUUUAUGUAAGAAAACUGAACGUUUAUGCUCUUCCAAGGCAUUUCUCAGCAUCCCCUCCCUCUCGAUUUGAGCCCCUCUAAUUACAUCCUGUGGCUUAAGCGAAGGGAAAAAUACAUGAUUUUUAAAACACAGGACAUGUUGAGCCAGUUUGCUGACUGAAUAUGCUAAGACGGCCCCCAUGAGUCCACACACAUCAUCAUGGUCCUCGUGACCAUAGGAGCUCAUAUGUUGCCCAAGGUGACGGUAUGAGAUACAUUAAGAUGGAUUUAGAAAUGCAUCAAAGGAAAAAAUGGUAAUUUUCUUCUUUCCUCUGCCAGCGACGGCCCAGGCUGAGAUUUCUGUUUAAGCAGAAAAGAAAUUGAUCUUUUAACAAAAGCUAAGGUAAAUUCCUCUAUCAUUUCUAUCACCAAAGGGGUGGGGAGCAGGGACAGUUUUUGUGGCUGCACGAGGAGCCUUAGCCAGAGAAAUAAAUAAUUGGGCAGAAGGGUGCUCUCCCCAUAGGCAUAUGCGCAUGUAUGCACAUAGCACAUAUAUACAUACAGACAUACAUUCUCUCCCCUAAGUAUAUCCAUUGCUAACAUAAGAAAGCAUUUAAACACACACACACACACACACACACACACACACACACACACACAGAAAUCUAUACUGUCUCCACAGGGAAAUAAUUUUCUCUUUGCCUCUACUGAACUUACAUAAUACCCCCACCCCCAUGUUCCAACCUUAGAAUGGAGCCCUCUGGGGGCAGCUGCAAAGCACUCUCCCUAGGACAGAUGGAGCCUCCCUCAUCUACUCUGUGGGUGGUUUUAGAACCCCAUGAGUCAACCGGGACUGAGGGCUGAGCUGGUAGUAUGUGUUUGAGGCUUGCCUGGCUGAUUCACAGUGAUGAAUAUGUCAAUAACAAUUAUGAGAAUUAUGAUACCUAAUAAAGAUUUGUUUCUUCCAA